rnacentral:rRNA from 1 species
AAUGAACGCUGGCGGCAUGCCUAACACAUGCAAGUCGAACGAGACCUUCGGGUCUAGUGGCGCACGGGUGCGUAACGCGUGGGAAUCUGCCCUUGGGUUCGGAAUAACAGUUAGAAAUGACUGCUAAUACCGAAUGAUGUCGUAAGACCAAAGAUUCAUCGCCCAGGGAUGAGCCCGCGUAGGAUUAGCUAGUUGGUGUGGUAAAAGCGCACCAAGGCGACGAUCCAGCUGGUCUGAGAGGAUGAUCAGCCACACUGGGACUGAGACACGGCCCAGACUCCUACGGGAGGCAGCAGUGGGGAAUAUUGGACAAUGGGCGAAAGCCUGAUCCAGCAAUGCCGCGUGAGUGAUGAAGGCCUUAGGGUUGUAAAGCUCUUUUACCCGGGAUGAUAAUGACAGUACCGGGAGAAUAAGCUCCGGCUAACUCCGUGCCAGCAGCCGCCGUAAU